rnacentral:rRNA from 1 species
AGUGAACGCUGGCGGUAGGCCUAACACAUGCAAGUCGAACGGCAGCACAGUAAGAGCUUGCUCUUACGGGUGGCGAGUGGCGGACGGGCGAGGAAUACAUCGGAAUCUACUUUUUCGUGGGGGAUAACGUAGGGAAACUUACGCUAAUACCGCAUACGACCUACGGGUGAAAGCAGGGGAUCUUCGGACCUUGCGCGAUUGAAUGAGCCGAUGUCGGAUUAGCUAGUUGGCGGGGUAAAGGCCCACCAAGGCGACGAUCCGUAGCUGGUCUGAGAGGAUGAUCAGCCACACUGGAACUGAGACACGGUCCAGGCUCCUACGGGAGGCAGCAGUGGGGAAUAUUGGACAAUGGGCGCAAGCCUGAUCCAGCCAUACCGCGUGGGUGAAGAAGGCCUUCGGGUUGUAAAGCCCUUUUGUUGGGAAAGAAAAGCAGCAGGUUAAUACCCCGCUGUUCUGACGGUACCCAAAGAAUAAGCACCGGCUAACUUCGUG